rnacentral:pre_miRNA from 3 species
UCUUAUGGAUAAACAAAGAAAAUGGUUCUUGAAAUGGAAUCUACUCCCAGUGAAGAUGCUGUGAA